CAGCAAGACGGGGCUCGUGCGAGUGUCAGCGUGUGCGGGGAGUGCGUAUCCGUGGGUGCGCGUCUGCGGGUGGCCAUACGUGUCGGGUGAGGGCGUGGGUGCGCAGGGCACGCGCGUUUCGGGCGGUGCCAGGAGGUGCCUGAUCCCCCCGGGGGGAUACUCCCGCUCCCCACGUCGUGCCUUAGAAGAGGGGUUGAUAAUCCUGCGGGAGGGGAGCGGGGAGAGCUGCCUGCGCGCAGAUGGGAGCGGAACCUCUAAAGUGAUUAGCUCUUCUAGCAUUGCAUUUUUGACGCACAUGGUUAAGAGCGCUUGGCGCCAGCUUGGUGAAGUCCCUGUAGUAACCAGCGUCUAGGAUCGCUUUGCAUUCACCAAAAUAUCUCCCCUUCGGUCGGGGGUGGGGGUGGAAAGGAGAAGGGAGGAGGAGGGAGGAAAGGAAGCGGGAGUAAUGCAUUCAAAGAAGAUGUAGGGAAAAGACAAGGGCGGGGGUGGGGGGAGCGUGAUGUAUUUCAAGGAACCAAGAGCUUAGCUGCCCGCGCAGCGCUCGCCUCGGCUGCGCAGCGAGAUUUCUCGAGAGCUCUGCUCAGGACCGGGGCCUGGGCUCCCUCCCGCCUCCAGCCGCAACGGGAACCUCAGAACCUUCCCCUUACGGAACCCACAACAAACGCCCGAAGUAGUUGUUGUUUGUUGGUGGAACGGCACGCAGAAACUUGGCCGCAAUUUGCCCCAAGCAGGCCGCAGCUGUCUGCCGGGGACCGUGAGGUGCCCGCGGACUCUCGCAGGACAAGCGCAGCCGCUCCCAGAGCCGCCUUGCCCCGCUCCCCGCGCCCGCCCCGCCGGUACGCGCCCUCGGGGCCGCUGUGGAGGACGGAGCCGUUGGUGCCCUCCGCGCCCGCCCCGCACUUUGCGCAGCGCUCGGCACCCACCCGCGCGGCGGCCCGCGGAGGGAAAUGAAGCGUUCGCCGCUUAUGAUUUCCAAUGUCAGCGUCUGGCUGAUGGCGUGCAAACUUCCGCCAGUUCCGAGUGACCUCCCCGACGAAGCCCCCUGGAGACUCGUAUUAUGAAGGGAGGCUGCACUAAUCUAAGAUCAAAAGCGGGAAGGUGCGAACAGUCUUUGUCUCCCUUCGGCCGCCUCGUUCCCCCUCCUGUGUGUGAUAAAUCUACCCUGGCGCCGACUGCGCGCUGGAUGAUUAAUUUGCAAGCAAACAAAAGGGGACCUGAUGGCCAGCCAUCUUAGUUAAAUAUUGGCCAGUGCUUCCAGCUACUUGUUAGCCGCCUCUUUGCCAGAAAUAAAUAAAUAGGCGACGCGCGGAAAUAAAUAAAUAAGGAAGUCCGCAAAAACGAAGAGCGAAAGGGGAGGAAAGAGAGUAAGGCAGAAAAAAAAAAAAAAAGAAAAAGAAAAAGAAAAGAAAGAAAGAAAGAAAAGAAAAGAAAAAAGAAAGGGAAAAAAAAAGAAAAAGAUCAGAGCGAAAGGCCGGGAGCCGAGCGGAGGUGGGAACGGGGCCGUGGCGGGGGGAGGCCGGGUGAUAGCACGCCGAGAUAGCCGGCUGCCCCGGGCCCGUCUGCAGGCCGCGCUGCACCAAGGCCGACACUAUCUUAGCGCUUCAAAGAGCCGUGAAAGGUCCCCGCUGGCUCCCCGAGCCGCGGCUCUCUAAUCUCGGAGCGCAGAAGCCAAAGGCCGGGCCGGGGGGAGCGGCUCGCAGGGCCCCCAGCAUCUCUGGCCACUUCCCCAGCCAGCAACAUCUCUGCUUUUUCCCCGGUUCAAUGCAGGCCGGAGGGAAAGCAGAGCUUCCCUGGUUGCUGAGCGGCUGCGAGAGCUUCGCUCGCUCAGAUUUCGCCCUCCUAAGCAACUUUUUAGCGUCUGCACGAGAGAUCGGGGCGUGCGGCAAGCCUCCCCCGUGGCCCGAAGAGCCAGCUGAAGGGAGAAGGCAGGAGGAAAAGAAUGGCAGCGCGACUGCGGAGCCCACACGUCCUCUCCCAAGCCUGCGGGAGCCGCUCCAAGGCGUGUGUGCGUGCUGCGAGCCCCGUGCCACCGGUCCUCUUUCCUGGGACUUGCAGGGCUGGAUGGAGCUGGAGACACUUUUACACACACCUCCUCGGGGCACCAGAAAAAAUACAAGUGAAGAGCGUGGUUGGAGAAAGGUUCUCAUCCUCCAGCCGUCUCUGGGGUGUGUCCCUGCGGGAAAGGCUGCAGUGUCCCGGCACGGCCCGGCAAAGCAUAACACGGCCCAGCCCGGCUCGGCACUGCCCGGCCUGGCACACGGCCUGGCUCCUGCUCGCUGCCAGCCCGGCAUCCAGCUGGGACAACAGGGUGCCGUACGAUUUUGGACCCCUCCCAAACACCGUAAUCACUCCCAUCCCUGCAGCAAGACCCGCUGUCACCUGGUCCCCAUCCCCAAACAGCUCUGGCGCUCUCCAGCCCCAUCCAUUUUGCCUCGGAUGGGAGAAGAAAACCAGAGGGCACUCGGAGGCGAAUCCCCACCCCAGAGCACCCCCCUUACCCCCCGCCCCCGAGCCCGGGCUGCCCUUUCCCCCAACCUUGAUCCUGCAGUGUGCUCUUAGCAGAGGCGCAAUGAAAGCCCUGCUCCCCCCCCGCCUCCCCUCCCCCCACCGAUCCUUCUGCUCCCACCACCCCACCACCGCUGGCUAAGCAGAAAUUGUAAAUAGAGUUCACUAUUUGGAUAUAUAUAUUUUUUAAUAGCCAGGCGUAUGCAUACAGUUUGCCGCUCAGGAAGUAGAACUAAUUGUCGUUUCCUACAGUCAAACAGAUCUAUCUUUUCAAUGUUGUCUUUGUGUGUCUGCAUGCGAGAGAGAAAGGGGGAACGACUGGAUACGUUUAUUCAAUUAUUUAAACACACACACACAACACAACAACAAUCCCGAGGAGGAACGAGCCUUCCCGAAGGAGCCCUCCAGCUCUCCAGAUGCGGCAUUCUCCCCCCCACCCCCGCCCGCUCCCUGCAGACCCAGUAGAACAAGGCACCCGGCGAGAGAAACCGAUUUUAUCUGCUUUGACCAUCGGCCGCGUUCUUUAACAACCCAGCCCCGGCGCUGGAACCUUGCCCACCUCCUCCGGGGUCUGCUCCGACCCCCGCCCCCGGGCACCUCCGAGGCACCGGCGGGCGCCGGCUGCAGCAGAGCGUGGAGGGAAACCGGGAGCCUCUGGCACCGGCGCUGCCACUCUUCGCUCCCAUUUUCUUCGAGAUGCCACGGAGCCACCCGGCGAUCGAUUGAUACCUCGGCCCGGGGGAGAAAGGGGGGGGUGGAACCAGCUGUUGCAAAAGGACAUGGUAAAUCUAAUAGGGACUACUGUCAAUAGAGAAAUGACAGAGAAGAAGAAUUGGCUUCUUAAAGUCUGCUGAACUAACACUCAUCAUGCAGCCGCGGACACGUAUUCUCAAUCGGAGCCUGGUAUCUGCCCGAAGCCCCAGCGCAUCCAUCCGGGGGCUGCGAAAGGCACCGAAAUAUCGCAGCCCGACCCUGGGAAAUAUAGAGAUGGCGGAGAAUUUCCCCGUACAACUUGGUCACCGAGGCCAACCUAAAGGUGUGCGCGGACAUACGUGUGCUUUGCAGCCCCCACCUGAUGGCUCUCCCCGUCACCCCACCCUCCCCGGACCCGCAGCACGUCGCAGGCCACGCUCUCCCGUCGCCGUGUCCUCUGCCGGGAUCCAGAAGCACGGGCACAGCCGACUCCUACCCCGGCGCUUCUCCGGAGCAGCAGGGGUGUUGUGAACACUUAUUAAACCCAGAUGAUCUGAGAGUUGGGGCAUACGGAAAAGAUUUUCAAUUAAAGCCGAGAGCAGCCAGCUUCGCGUCGCAGGUGUAAACAAUAUUUGUGCAGCUCUCGCUUCUCAUCCCGGAGCGGAUCCUUCCCCUCGCUGCAUCCCGCAGGGAGGAGAAGGGAAGGGGCCGCUUCUCUCUCCGGGCCCCACUCGCACCUCGCCGGGCUCCCCACAUCGCUCAGUGCACACCCGGGCGGGUCUGUGCCCUGCAGCCCCCGGCCCCGAAUCUCCUCCCCUCCGCUCACCUGUUGCUGCAGCCGCUUCCGUAAGGGCAGGGACUAAAAGGAAAAUUCAAUAGCUCCGGUCUAGGAAAGCGGCGGCGGUGUAAAGUGUUGCGGUGACACGGGAGGUGGGUUGGGACGGCACGCGGGGACAGUGGGCAUCACCGCAGGCUGCUGGGUACGCGCUCCCGCUUGGAAGAAGUGCUUUCUCACAACUUUGAUGCCCGAUUUAGGGGGAUCUGGGAGCUCAAAUGCAGCUGGGAACACGUUUCCCAGUUCGCCGAGAGCGUUCGGGUUCACGAAGCACCUCGGGGGCCGUGGGAGCGGCCCCCCGAACAGCCCCUGCCUCGUUAGCGAGACCGGGCACGGUCGCUUUGGAUGAUCCGGUUUAAAUAACGGAG
ensembl:lncRNA